UACGUAGGGUGCAAGCGUUGCUCGGAAUUAUUGGGCGUAAAACGCACGUAGGCGGCUUUCUAAGUCAGGGGUGAAAUCCUGGAGCUCAACUCCAGAACUGCCUUUGAUACUGGAAAGCUUGAGUUCGGGAGAGGUGAGUGGAACUGCGAGUGUAGAGGUGAAAUUCGUAGAUAUUCGCAAGAACACCAGUGGCGAAGGCGGCUCACUGGCCCGAUACUGACGCUGAGGCGCGAAGGCUAGGGGAGCGAACAGG
rnacentral:rRNA from 1 species